AGCCUGAUGCAGCAACGCCGCGUGAGGGAUGACGGCCUUCGGGUUGUAAACCUCUUUUAGCAGGGAAGAAGCGAGAGUGACGGUACCUGCAGAAAAAGCGCCGGCUAACUAUGUGCCAGCAGCCGCGGUAAUACGUAGGGCGCAAGCGUUAUCCGGAAUUAUUGGGCGUAAAGAGCUCGUAGGCGGUUUGUCGCGUCUGCUGUGAAAUCCCGAGGCUCAACCUCGGGCCUGCAGUGGGUACGGGCAGACUAGAGUGCGGUAGGGGAGAUUGGAAUUCCUGGUGUAGCGGUGGAAUGCGCAGAUAUCAGGAGGAACACCGAUGGCGAAGGCAGAUCUCUGGGCCGUAACUGACGCUGAGGAGCGAAAGGGUGGGGAGCAAACAGGCUUAGAUACCCUGGUAGUCCACCCCGUAAACGUUGGGAACUAGUUGUGGGGACCAUUCCACGGUUUCCGUGACGCAGCUAACGCAUUAAGUUCCCCGCCUGGG
rnacentral:rRNA from 1 species